rnacentral:rRNA from 1 species
CAGUAGCCGCGGUAAUACAGAGGGUGCGAGCGUUAAUCGGAUUUACUGGGCGUAAAGCGUGCGUAGGCGGCUUUUUAAGUCGGAUGUGAAAUCCCUGAGCUUAACUUAGGAAUUGCAUUUGAUACUGGGAAGCUAGAGUAUGGGAGAGGAUGGUAGAAUUCCAGGUGUAGCGGUGAAAUGCGUAGAGAUCUGGAGGAAUACCGAUGGCGAAGGCAGCCAUCUGGCCUAAUACUGACGCUGAGGUACGAAAGCAUGGGGAGCAAACAGGAUUAGAUACCCGAGUAGUCCCUGUCUCUUAUAC